rnacentral:lncRNA from 1 species
AUGGGAAAAGCUGUGAGGAGAGGUUCCUCGUGUGCCAGGUGCUUGUUAACGUGCUGCACUACUGCCUUCUCUGUGAGGCUGUGGUGCAGCAGAUCCUCAUGCAGAUUGGUGGAGGACUGGAAACAAAGGGGGGAAUCGGAGGAAGAAGUUGUGGAAAAGGAAAAGAUCAAACAUUCCCUAAAGUGUGGUAGAAGGCAGGAAGAAUGACACUUGCUAAUUUGAAUUUCAGAACACACCUAAACCGCAUUCUGAUCUCCAGCUGGAGGUAUCUGGUGUGGUGCAGAUGCUCGUGGCAGGAUGAGCUCCUCAUCUGAAGCUGAGGGUGAAGUUUUCAAGAAGUACAUGUGGUUAAAAAAAAGAACUUGAAGGAAAGCAAAUGAGACAUGAGGACUGAUAUUCUGGAAGGAGAAGGAAUGAUCCCGAUUAAUUUUAUUUUAACAUAUUUAUCUCUGGUUCCCUGUAAAAUAAUACUAAAAUAAUAAAAUAUUGUUAAUUACCA